AUUGAACGCUGGCGGCAUGCCUUACACAUGCAAGUCGAACGGCAGCACGGGUGCUUGCACCUGGUGGCGAGUGGCGAACGGGUGAGUAAUACAUCGGAACAUGUCCUGUAGUGGGGGAUAGCCCGGCGAAAGCCGGAUUAAUACCGCAUACGAUCUACGGAUGAAAGCGGGGGACCUUCGGGCCUCGCGCUAUAGGGUUGGCCGAUGGCUGAUUAGCUAGUUGGUGGGGUAAAGGCCUACCAAGGCGACGAUCAGUAGCUGGUCUGAGAGGACGACCAGCCACACUGGGACUGAGACACGGCCCAGACUCCUACGGGAGGCAGCAGUGGGGAAUUUUGGACAAUGGGCGAAAGCCUGAUCCAGCAAUGCCGCGUGUGUGAAGAAGGCCUUCGGGUUGUAAAGCACUUUUGUCCGGAAAGAAAUCCUUGGCCCUAAUAUGGUCGGGGGAUGACGGUACCGGAAGAAUAAGCACCGGCUAACUACGUG
rnacentral:rRNA from 1 species